rnacentral:rRNA from 1 species
UAGGGAAUCUUCCACAAUGGACGAAAGUCUGAUGGAGCAACGCCGCGUGAGUGAAGAAGGGUUUCGGCUCGUAAAACUCUGUUGUUAAAGAAGAACAUAUCUGAGAGUAACUGUUCAGGUAUUGACGGUAUUUAACCAGAAAGCCACGCAUAACUACGUG